rnacentral:rRNA from 1 species
CUACGUGCCAGCAGCCGCGGUAAUACGUAUGUCACAAGCGUUAUCCGGAUUUAUUGGGCGUAAAGCGCGUCUAGGUGGUUAUGUAAGUCUGAUGUGAAAAUGCAGGGCUCAACUCUGUAUUGCGUUGGAAACUGUGUAACUAGAGUACUGGAGAGGUAAGCGGAACUACAAGUGUAGAGGUGAAAUUCGUAGAUAUUUGUAGGAAUGCCGAUGGGGAAGCCAGCUUACUGGACAGAUACUGACGCUGAAGCGCGAAAGCGUGGGUAGCAAACAGGAUUAGAUACCCUGGUAGUCCACGCCGUAAACGAUGAUUACUAGGUGUUGGGGGUCGAACCUCAGCGCCCAAGCAAACGCGAUAAGUAAUCCGCCUGGGGAGUACGUACGCAAGUAUGAAACUCAAAGGAAUUGACGGGGACCCGCACAAGCGGUGGAGCAUGUGGUUUAACUCGACGCAACGCGAGGAACCUUACCAGCGUUUGACAUC